GUUUGCCAAAAUGUGUCCCAUUUCUUGUUGCUUAAGUCAGAGGUUAUGUUUCGGCCUCUUUCUCCCUCUGGGCUCUGAGGAAACCCUGAUGGUAUGCAAAAAUUAUACCGCUUUGCUUUUUUGGUUUAAUCAUUAUACUGUCUUAGGUCCUGUAACAGCAGGACAGCUUAAAGUGUAAAAGAUUACAAACACAGUGAGAUACAUUCUUUUGAAACGGCCUGUUACGGAAACUGCAAAAGACAAAAAGCUGCUACCAGGGGUAUCAAACACUGAACGUCUGGAAUAUAUUGACACAAUCUGAGGAAACCAAAAAGGGGCCAAACCAAAACAGCAUCUGGACCAUGCAUAAGUGUUUUACUCCAAACAACAAAUCCCCCCACUAAAAAACUCUUGUCUUCAACAUGACAAUCUCUUUUGUUCAUGGGAACUCUUUAAGAUAUCUUCCACACUGUUUGGUAAGUUAACUCAUUAUUUCCCCACAGACUUAGAAAGAAAGCCCUCUCACUGGCCCCUGGCUUUGCUGUAAGCAGGCCAGUAAAAAAAAAAAAAAAGUGGUUGUGAUUGCAUGAAACCGCCUGCAGACUUACAACUCAUUUUUUCCGACGACUUCAUGCAGCAGCAGUGCAGACAGUGUGCUCUGUCGUCUGCUGCUUCUUUGUGAGCUGGUGCGGAGAUGCUCCAGGGGGUCGUAAACACAUCCUGGUUUUACCUUUCCUGCUGCCUCCUGUUAGGGCUCUGCUCCCCAGGAGAGGAUGCAGGAUCAUCUCUUCCCUUUUUCGAGCGAGAGCCAGGGGAACUUGAUCUGGAGGACUUGGAGUGGGGCUCUGGGUCUUCUCUUCUGCAUCUUCUUCAACACUUCCCUGCUGACAGCCCUUUUGUCACAGAGAAUAUGAAAAAACCUGCCAACUGUAGCCAGCGUUUCUGGUUACCCCCCUCCUCUCCUAUAUGCUGGGAAAAUAUUGCCGGCCCUGAAGAGUUUGCAAAGUCGAGAUUGCUCGUUUUGCAGAACAGGGCAUAUUUGCAGGCUGUGUCCACCUCCAGUGGGGUGGAGGACAGUGGAUUCUCCUAUGACCAGCAGGCACGAGAGGAGGUGGAGGGGAUUCGAUCGGACUACAAGAACAUGGUGGAAACCAUGCAGACCAUGGACACAGUGUUUGAGUCCUUGCAGGAAAAGAGGAAGGAGGGAAGUGAGCAGAGGUUCUUCAUGAGCAUGAGGGAACAUCUGGCCAGUACUCGAGGAGCCAUAGACGGCAGGGAACACACAUUGAGCGACCUGGAGAAGCAGAUUUCCUCCUUGGAGAAAAUGUUGCUCAACGCCCAGCUACGACUCACCAAACUGAUCCAACAGUGACCAACGAAUAAGACGUUGAACAAGGUUUAUACUUGACUGUUUUAUACAAUGGUGUAGUUGGCUUACGCAUGCUCAGGAUACCUGUACACAAACCACUCAUCAAUAAAUCAACAGCAUUUUUCA
rnacentral:lncRNA from 1 species